AUCGGGCAGCACAGUGGGGACCAUUGUAGCGGUCUUCCUGUCGGCCAUUGUGAUAUGUCUACUUCUGAUUGUGUUCCACAAAAAGGAGAGAAGUGACGCAGUAGCUUCCAGACUUCGAGGGCUAUUCAGAAGACAUUCCAGUUCAUAUAGGUAUAGUGAGAUUCCAUCAAGUGAAGUAGAGGAUUUUCUCCCAGAGAUCUCGGCCAGUGACCUUGGAAUUCAGGGGUCGGUGCAGGUCACCACAGAUACCGAGGACAUAAGUAUAUUACGGAGCGAGGAGUCCCCGGCGGUCAUCAGUUACCAUGACGACAGUGAUGAAGAACUGCUGGCAUAACACAAAAGAUGGCAGAACCUUCCUUAUUCAUAUCAAUAAAUAAAUAUAGCAGAUUUGUGAUGGAUCAGGUCGUGAACUAUGAUACAAUCUAAGAUGCUCUCACAAAUUAUGUGAUGACAUUUGACAAGAUGCUCUUUAAAAGCUGUGAUGAAAGACUGCUUUAUGUAUCGUAGCAAAAUGCUCUUAAGAUUUCAGUGCUAUUAACCUCCCAGUAUGUUGUUCUGAUGUGCGUAAAUGCAUAAAUUUAAUGUUAGGAAAGAGCUUGAAGGCAUGGUGUCAAGAUGAAUUGAAUUGUUCUUUAAAAUGGCGUAUUAAAGCAUCGUUUGCAUAUGGUUGUAGUAAAUGAACUGACACGCGCUUCCCACAAUGCUUUAUAUUCAGCCAAUAACUUAUAUCUUGCAAAAUAUUCAUGGAAUCGUUCAUAUGCUAGAUUCAUUUUUAAGUCCCAAUAAUUUAAGCCUUUCAUUCAUACAAUUCAAAGCACUUCAUGAAUUUUAAAGACUAGUAUAUUUUUGGUCUUUGUCUUGAAUCUGAAUCUAUUUAUUGUGGCAUUGAACCAUCCCACAAUAUUAGAUACAUGUAAUUAUUUUAAGAUUUGUAUCUAUGUAGAGCAAGUAAUGGACAUUUUAUUGAUACUGGUAUUAAGCAGCACAUUUUAGUUUCUGUCUUUUUUACUGGAAUUUUUGUUUGGUGCCUCAUAUGUUACAGGCCUAUAAACAAAAGGUUACUGGUCAUUUAAGCAAUUUUCCUUGUCAAUUAAGGUGGCUCACUAUACCUUGGAAAAUUAUUUGAUUAUGAUAGAUAAGAAGUAUAUAAGUCAAAUAUGUGAAAAAAUGUGCAAUUUGGAUAAAAAUUUAUAUUUUCAAAAAAUUAAUUCAGUAAAUAUGAAAAAAAAGUUUGGUGGAUAUGAACUCAUGAUCUGAGUUUCACAAGCCCGAUACUUUAACCACUGAGAUAUGUUGAUAUUCAGCCUAGUUAAUUGAAUAUAAACAAUUUAACAAAACAUUUAAAUCGCCAUCUUAAAAAGUUAAAGUCUAGGUGUAGUGCGGUACCUUAAAGAAUAUAUAUUCUUACUCUUUACUAAAUAUGCAUGGACAACAGGACAAGUGCUCUUCACAAAGCACCAGCCCAGAGCCCUAAUAUGUAGGUUCCAGACAUUUGGGCAAACAAUGGAAACAUAGUAAAAUUGAUUUUAAUGAUCUCUGUAUGUGGAUUCUUCUAUAUUUGGACUUUAUAGUACAUAUAGUGCAUGACAUUUUUAAGCCUUGCAAGGAAUUUUACACAAUGAUUUAUAAUGAUAUUGUGACAUUUAGUAGACAAAUCUGUAUUUGUCUCUUUAUUUAAACUUUGUGAAAUAUACAUUUGCUGGGGUGUUUUGUGUUAUGGCAUAAACUAUGACUUAUCACUAAAUUAAAUACAUGUACAUAUACCUUUACAUAUUAGAAGAAUGUUUGCAUUUAUUUGAUAAAUAUUCAAGAAUAUUUGCCAAUUGUGACUUUAUCUGAUUAAAAAUGACUUUCUGUUAUUUUAAAAGUCAUAUAAUUAUGUGUUGGUAUUUAAUUUUCACCCUUAUUUCAUUAUCAAUAUGUUGGAUAUUUUUCUUGAAUAAUGUUAUUUAUAAUGUAUCCAUAAGGUAACCUACUCUCUGGAAAAAAAUAAUGUUAUUUUUACAAGAUAUUUACAUGACAUUGUAUAUGUUCUUCUGUCACUCUAUGUCUUGUGUACUUGUACAAGUAGAUUUAAUAUGUAACUAAAUUAAUCCUUUUACAUCAUGUACAUGGGUGAUCGUUCCUUCCGUAUGAUUUUUAUGAAAAACUGAAAUUCUUAAAUAUGUUUCUGAUGUAUUUUUCAUGUUUAUGGGAUUUUAGAUGUUUGACAUGUCCGGUGGAUAUUUCACAUUAUGUUCAUUAGAAAUUUUAGAUGUUGGAUUGACAGAAGAUUGAUUUACUAUCAUACAUGUAAUUGCAUUGACAUGACAUUCAUGUGUAUGAGAUUUUCCAUAUAAUCAUGCUCAUGAGGGAUUCUAUAUGUACAAGAAAAUCUCUUUUAAUAUUUUCUAAUUCAUGACAAAUAGUAUUUUAGAUUCAUGAGGAAUUCUACAUGAUAUUCAUUGUAAGUGAUUCCAUUAUGUUUUUGAAAAAAAAACCAACUCUCUAGUACUUGUAUGUUUAUGUGAGUAUUUGGCAUGUCAUUGAGGGGAUUUUGACUACCGGUAUUCUUCUUCUUUGUGGUGACAAGAUGUGCUUAUCUGAAUGAUAUAAUAUUAGAUAAGAAAGUGCACUUUUCUGGGUGAUAUAUUAGAUAAAUCUGUGAUAAUGGUUUUCAGUGUGCAGCAAUAAGUUGUAACGUGAUAGGCCCAUUGAACAAAGAUUUACCAUUGUGUACUCUGUACAAUGUUUCAACAUGCACAUACAGAGAGUUGACUGUUCUAUGUAUUCUCAAUAUAAUAUCAAUCAAUAUUGAAUUCUCACUGUUAUAUUAGAAUAUACAUUCUUUGUUGCGUUAAGGGUUAAAUGUAUGGUGACUACCUAAUGGUGCAGUUUAUGAAUGAACUUGACUUACUGAGCUAAUUCUUCGAAUUAUAGAGUUUAUUUGAAUAUUGUGGGUGUGGAUGUUCAAAAUCAAACACUUUUUUGUGCUGUCUAAUGUUUAUUUCAACUAUAAUCAUUCUGCUUAUGUGGGAUACUGCAAUUAUUAUUACACAUUCCUUGUUAAUUAACUGCAUUUUGCAUAUUUAUGUUGUGGACAUUUUUGGUGUGUUGGUUCACAGAAAACACAAAAAAAUGCAUUGUGUCCAUAAAUUUUGUGCCUAAAUUUUGUGAGCUACAAGCGGUAGGAAAUAUUUUUUUACCUGUUGUUUGCCUUCUAAAAAUACUGAAGUAUCCCCUGUUCCCCAUUUAUUUGUUUAUAGUGGAUAUCAUAUACAUGAAUUUAUAAAUCUUUAAUUUUGUAAACUUUAGCUCUUCAAUUAUUAUUGUAACAUGCAAUGUAUACAAUACAUACACUGUUUGUAUCAAUUUGUAUCUAGUAUCGUUCAUGUUAAUGAGUAUUUAAUAUGUUGCAGAUGGAUUUCUUUCAAGUUUUUUUUUUUCCUCAUUAAAAUAAUUAUGAUUGUGAC